AAGAUUUUAAGUUAAAAUAAACUAAUAGCCUUCAAAGCUUUAAAUAAAAAUUAAAUUUUAAAUCUUA
rnacentral:tRNA from 1 species